GAAGAUUUCCGAAUGGGACAACCCGGCCGUCUGAAGGACGGUCACUCACGCUAAGCGUGAGAGCUAACGCAGGGAACUGAAACAUCUUAGUACCUGUAGGAAGAGAAAAUAAAUAAUGAUUCCCUUAGUAGUGGCGAGCGAACGGGGAACAGCCCAAACCGUGACUGUGGCAACGCAGCCGCGGGGUAGUAGGACCGCGACAUUGUAUGCAUGCAGUGAGCAGAAUCUUCUGGAAAGAAGAACCGCAGAUGGUGAAAGUCCAGUAUGCGAAACUAAUUGCAACAUAGUGGUAUCCUGAGUAACGCGGAACACGAGGAAUUCUGCGCGAAUCCGCCGGGACCAUCCGGUAAGGCUAAAUACUCCUGUGAGACCGAUAGUGAACCAGUACCGUGAGGGAAAGGUGAAAAGCACUUCGAUAAGAAGAGUGAAAUAGUUCCUGAAACCAUACGCCUACAAGCGGUCGGAGCUGCUUUAUGCAGUGACGGCGUGCCUUUUGCAUAAUGAACCUACGAGUUACCAUCACCAGCAAGGUUAAGGGCCAUAAGUCCCCAAGCCGCAGUGAAAGCGAGCCUGAAUAGGGCGUAUAGUUGGUGGGGGUAGACGCGAAACCAAGUGAUCUACACUUGACCAGGUUGAAGUUCCGGUAACACGGAAUGGAGGACCGCACCAAUAAGCGUUGAAAAGCUUCUGGAUGAGUUGAGUGUAGGAGUGAAAGGCCAAUCAAACUUGGAGAUAGCUCGUACUCCCCGAAAGGCAUUUAGGUGCCGCGUGUGGUGAUCUCCGUAAGAGGUAGAGCGACCGAUAGGUCAAGAGGGCUUCACCGCCUAUCGAGACCUGACGAACUCCGAAUGCUUACGGAUAGCAGCCAUGCAGUAAGGGGGCGGGUGCUAAGGUCCGUCCCCGAGAGGAGAAGAAUCCAGACCGCCGUCUAAGGCCCCGAAAUUCUGUCUGAGUUAGUCUAACGAAGUCUGGUCCCUAUGACAGCUAGGAUGUUGGCUUGGAAGCAGCCAUUCAUUCAAAGAGUGCGUAACAGCUCACUAGUCGAGGGUCCGGGCAUGGAUAAUAAUCGGGUAUAAGGCAGAUGCCGAAGGCGCGGGAUAGUAAUCAUAAAAGUAUCGGUAGGGGAGCAUACCAUGUGCGUAGAAUGGUGAAGAUAACUGAUCCUGGAGCGCAUGGUAAAGCAAAUGUAGGUAUAAGUAACGAUAAGAGGGGUGAGAUUCCCCUCCGCCAUAAGUCUAAGGUUUCCCGGGCAAUGCCAAUCAGCCCGGGGUAAGUCGGGUCCUAAGUCUCAGCCGAAGGGCGAGGGCGAUGGCAGAAACGGUUAAUAUUCCGUUACUACCUUCAGGAGCGAUGUGGAGACGGAGCAGUGACACUGCCGCGGGGCGACGGAAGUCCCCGUUAAAGAGUGUAGGCGUAGAUUGGAGCAGGCAAAUCCACUCCAAGAGCCGACCUU
rnacentral:rRNA from 1 species